AUUGAACGCUGGCGGCAGGCCUAACACAUGCAAGUCGAGCGGCAGCGGAAAGUAGCUUGCUACUUUGCCGGCGAGCGGCGGACGGGUGAGUAAUGUCUGGGAAACUGCCUGAUGGAGGGGGAUAACUACUGGAAACGGUAGCUAAUACCGCAUAACCUCGAAAGAGCAAAGUGGGGGAUCUUCGGACCUCACGCCAUCGGAUGUGCCCAGAUGGGAUUAGCUAGUAGGUGAGGUAAUGGCUCACCUAGGCGACGAUCCCUAGCUGGUCUGAGAGGAUGACCAGCCACACUGGAACUGAGACACGGUCCAGACUCCUACGGGAGGCAGCAGUGGGGAAUAUUGCACAAUGGGCGCAAGCCUGAUGCAGCCAUGCCGCGUGUGUGAAGAAGGCCUUAGGGUGUAAAGCACUUUCAGCGAGGAGGAAGGCAUCAUACUUAAUACGUGUGGUGAUUGACGUUACUCGCAGAAGAAGCACCGG
rnacentral:rRNA from 1 species